GGAAGUAAAGUAACAAGGUUUCCGUAGGUGAACCUGCGGAAGGAUCAUUAUUGUAUAACCGAGGUGCGAGGGCUGUCGCUGACCCGAAAGGUCGUGCACGCCCGAGUGCCCUCACACACAUCCAUCUCACCCCUAUGUGCACCACCGCGUGGGUCCCCCUUUGGCUUGUUCGGAGGGGGGCUUACGUUUUCACACAAACUUUGUAUGCAGUGUAGAAUGUAUUUUUUGUUUUUGCGAUCACGCAAUCAAUACAACUUCCAACAACGGAUCUCUUGGCUCUC
rnacentral:misc_RNA from 1 species